rnacentral:rRNA from 1 species
CAGCAGCCACGGUAAUACGUAGGUCCCGAGCGUUGUCCGGAUUUAUUGGGCGUAAAGCGAGCGCAGGCGGUUAGAUAAGUCUGAAGUUAAAGGCUGUGGCUUAACCAUAGUACGCUUUGGAAACUGUUUAACUUGAGUGCAAGAGGGGAGAGUGGAAUUCCAUGUGUAGCGGUGAAAUGCGUAGAUAUAUGGAGGAACACCAGUGGCGAAGGCGACUCUCUGGUCUGUAACUGACGCUGAGGAGCGAAAGCGUGGGGAGCGAACAGGAUUAGAUACCCCUGUAGUCCCUGUCUCUUAUACA